rnacentral:lncRNA from 1 species
CAGAUUUGGAACAGAAUUCCUGCCACCUUCUGGGAUGCUGCAAACCCAGCUGGAAACCCUGAGCCUCUGUGACAGCACCACAUUAUACUUUCCAUGAGUUACAUCCUCAACGCCUCCUGAGGCUGCUGGCCAAGACUGUGCACAGAGAAGCGAGGCAUCUUUCCUGGGGCUGAAAGGAGUCUGUGUUAGAAAAUGUAGAGCAGAGUACAGCAUUCUUCCCUCCUGUGGACUCAGAAAAAUAAGGCAGAGCAAAUACCAGCUAGCAGCUACUUUGCAUUCUGGGCAAACCCCUGCAAUGUGAGACCAUCAGGCUGCAAAAUGGGCCCCCCAGGCAAUACUGAAAUCAGCAAUAAUAUGGAGAGAAGAGGUACUACGAGGAGUGAAGCUGAGGCAGUUCCCAUGGCUUUCUGUGUUGAUUCCAGAAAUUAUUGCCAAAACAUCAAGUCCAGAGUCUCAGGAACAUGAAUACUUACUACACAACCAGAAGGAAGAUAAAGGAUGGCUGUGCAACCCGGAGGAGAGCUGCUCACAUGGAGAUAAGGGAUCCUUAAUGAUGCUCCAGCUUCUCAGAGUGGACAGACUACACUGGCUUAAAAUUCUAUGGGCUGACUGGGAAGAUUCCUCCAGAUACCCUAAAACUUAAUGUAGUGCUGACCAGCUUUUCUAGAUUAUGUGACUACAUCACUGGAGGUCUAUCUUUAAAGCUUAAUAAAUCAUUUGUUUAUGCUAAUUAUGUGUAGAAGCUUAACCAUUAGUGAUCAAGCCACACUAGACCAGUUCGCAUUUGUUAGGAGAAGCGUAACUGACUUGCCCACUGAGAUGUGGCACAUCAACAACAUAGCUGUUGUUAACUAGAUCUCAAUGAUUUGACUCCCAGUCCAG